AUUGAACGCUGGCGGCAGGCCUAACACAUGCAAGUCGAGCGGUAGAGAGGUGCUUGCAUCUCUUGAGAGCGGCGGACGGGUGAGUAAUGCCUAGGAAUCUGCCUAGUGGUGGGGGAUAACGUUCGGAAACGGACGCUAAUACCGCAUACGUCCUACGGGAGAAAGCGGGGGAUCUUCGGACCUCGCGCCAUUAGAUGAGCCUAGGUCGGAUUAGCUAGUUGGUGAGGUAAUGGCUCACCAAGGCGACGAUCCGUAACAGGUCUGAGAGGAUGAUCAGUCACACUGGAACUGAGACACGGUCCAGACUCCUACGGGAGGCAGCAGUGGGGAAUAUUGGACAAUGGGCGCAAGCCUGAUCCAGCCAUGCCGCGUGUGUGAAGAAGG
rnacentral:rRNA from 1 species